GACGAACGCUGGCGGCGUGCUUAACACAUGCAAGUCGAACGAUGAAGAAAAGAAUUGCAGCUUCGGCAGAAAUUCAUUUCGGAUUAGUGGCAGACGGGUGAGUAACGCGUGAGCAACCUACCUCUUACAAAGGGAUAGCCUCGGGAAACCGGGAUUAAUACCAUAUAACAUUGCGACGAAGCAUUUCGAUGCAAUCAAAGCUACGGCGGUAAGAGAUGAGCUCGCGUCCCAUUAACCAGAUGGUGAGGUAACGGCUCACCAUAGUAACGAUGGGUAACCGGCCGGAGAGGGAGAACGGUCACACUGGAACUGAGACACGGUCCAGACUCCUACGGGAGGCAGCAGUGGGGAAUACUGCACAAUGGAGGGAACUCUGAUGCAGCGACGCCGCGUGAGUGAUGAAGGAAGGCGUGUCGUAAAACUCUGUUCUAUGGGAAGAAAAGGACUGUACCAUAGGAGAAAGCUCCGGCUAAAUACGUG
rnacentral:rRNA from 1 species